rfam:Brugia malayi, FR3, WGS project CAPY01000000 data, contig: ctg1510151
GUCUACGACCAUACCACGUUGAAAGCACGACAUCUCGUCCGAUGUGUCAAGUUAAGCAACGUUGGGCCUGGUUAGUACUUGGAUCGGAGACGGCCUG